GGCUUGGUGGUCUAGUGGCAUGAUUCUCGCUUAGGGUUGUCCUCUGAAUUGCGAGAGGUCCCGGGUUCAAUUCCCGGCCAAGCCC